rnacentral:rRNA from 1 species
GUCCUAGCCUAACGAUGAACACUUGGUGUGGCGGGUACCCAAUCCCGCCGUGCCGGAGCUAACGCGUUAAGUGUUCCGCCUGGGAGUACGGUCGCAAGGCUGAACUCAAGGAAUUGACGGGCCCGCACAAGCGGUGGAGCAUGUGGUUCAAUUCGACGCAACGCGAAGAACCUUACCUGGGCUCGAAGCGCAGUGGACCGGGUGGAAACAUCCCUUCCCGCAAGGGCUGCUGCGUAGGUGCUGCAUGGCUGUCGU